rnacentral:tRNA from 1 species
CGGGGAUUAGCUCAGUGGUAGAGCGCUUGCCUAGCAAGCACAAGGCCCUGGGUUCGGUCCCCAGCUCCGA